GAGUCCAAUAAAUCGCGCGGCUCGUCUGGCCUCAGACGUGUUCAGCAACCCAAGCCCCGCCGCUUUUGUUCCGCCAAGUCUCACAUUGUUUGUCCGGCCGGCCCCGCCAGGCGCGGGAGGCUGCGGGGGCUCGGCGGGGGCUCUGGGGGUGUCUGGGCGAUGCUCGGCCUCCCCUUCUUCCUCCCGGGUCACCUCGACUUCUUCACCCACCUAGGAGCUGGGGGAUGUGCCCGGUAACCAGCGGGUCCUGCCUGCUCGCCAGCCCGGAGCGCUGCCCUGCGUGCCAACCUGUUCGCGUGGCUCUGUGUGCCCAACCUGCCCUCACUCACCUGCUGCCUUUUCCUGCCUCCCCUGCCCUGUCCUCACCUGCCCUGCCCUCACCUGCCCGCGGCUCUUGGUGGUGGCCUCGAGCCCGGAGCCGCCGCCGGAGGAGCGGGGGCCGUGCCCGGCGUAAGGAUAUAUAGGAGCGGCCGAGGAGCCUCCACGUAGCCGAUACGUAAAGUCCCUGCGAGCAGCACGGCCCGCUCUGAGCGCAGGGGGUUCCUCCGCCCGCCCAGGAUCCCCUCCCAAAACAGCCCUCAGGAAUAACCCGGUAAUUCGGGGACACGCCGAGGGCCGGUGCCGGGGUCGGACCGCUCCUUCCCCGGCCCGACAGAGUGUUUUAAAGCUACCGACGGCCAACGAGAUGAGCCGUUUUCCCUGCAGAAAUCCUCACUACAGACCCCAGAGCCUCUGGCAUCACUUCCCCAUCCGCCAGCGAGGACGGCGGCUUCGCCCACCAGAUUAUGCUAAAAAAAAAAAAAAUAAAAAAAGGAAAAAAAAAAUUU